rnacentral:rRNA from 1 species
GACGAACGCUGGCGGCGUGCUUAACACAUGCAAGUCGAACGAAGUGGCGAACGGGUGAGUAACGCGUAAUCAACCUGCCCUUCAGAGGGGGUUACCAGUUGGAACCGAAUCCUAAUCCGCCAUACGGAAGAGGUGGAUUGCGUCGAAUUGGCUAGUUGGAGGGGGAACGGCCCACCAAGGCGAUGAUAGGGAGCCGGUCGGAGAGGAUGAACGGCCACAUUGGGACUGAGACACGGCCCAGACCCCUACGGGAGGCAGCAGUGGGGAAUCUUCCGCAAUGGACGAAAGUCUGAUGGAGCAACGCCGCGUGAGGGAUGACGGCCUUCGGGUUGUAAAGCUCUGUUAAUCGGGACGCGGUACCGGAAGAGAAAGCCACGGCUAACUACGUGCCAGCAGCCGCGGUAAUUC